rnacentral:rRNA from 1 species
UACGGGGGGGGCAAGCGUUGUUCGGAAUUACUGGGCGUAAAGGGUUCGUAGGUGGCCUGCUAAGUCAGACGUGAAAUCCCUCAGCUCAACUGGGGAACUGCGUCUGAGACUGGUAGGCUUGAGUGCAGGAGAGGAACGCGGAAUUCCAGGUGUAGCGGUGAAAUGCGUAGAUAUCUGGAGGAACACCGGUGGCGAAGGCGGCGUUCUGGACUGCUACUGACACUGAGGAACGAAAGCCAGGGGAGCAAACGGG